rnacentral:sRNA from 1 species
CGUGAACUUCGUUUGUAACGGAAAUCCUUUUGUUUUUUCCUUUAAAAAACAAAAGAUUGAAGUGUAAAGCUGGAAAUAGC